rnacentral:lncRNA from 1 species
UCAUGAGUAUGCAUAUAAUAUAAUAGAGAGAUAGAUUAUAAAUACAUAAUUAUGAUAAUGGAGGGUGGGGAGAAGGAGAAAGAAAGGUGGCCUAUUAGAGAUGUGGUUGGUUAGAAUGCAAAAUCAUUGUGCACACGUGGAAAGAGACUCCAAUAUUUAGAAUUAGGGCACAACAUAUAUUCAUCCAUAUUCAACUCUCACACAAAUAUUUAUACAAAUA